rnacentral:rRNA from 1 species
GAUCCUGGCUCAGGACGAACGCUGGCUGCGCGCCUAACACAUGCAAGUCGAACGGAGCUGAGAGGGGCUUGCUUUUCUUAGCUUAGUGGCGAACGGGUGAGUAACGCGUGAGUAACCUGCCCUGGAGUGGGGGACAACAGUUGGAAACGACUGCUAAUACCGCAUAAGCCCACGGUACCGCAUGGUACUGAGGGAAAAGGAUUUAUUCGCUUCAGGAUGGACUCGCGUCCAAUUAGCUAGUUGGUG